UACGGGGGGGGCAAGCGUUGUUCGGAAUUACUGGGCGUAAAGGGUUCGUAGGUGGCCAACUAAGUCAGACGUGAAAUCCCUCAGCUUAACUGGGGAACUGCGUCUGAUACUGGUUGGCUUGAGUGCAGGAGAGGAACGCGGAAUUCCAGGUGUAGCGGUGAAAUGCGUAGAUAUCGCUUGGAACGCCAAAGGUGAAAACAGGUUGCUGGGGUUGUGCCGACGCUGAGACACGAAAGCCAGGGGAGCAAACGGG
rnacentral:rRNA from 1 species